rnacentral:rRNA from 1 species
GCGAGCGGCGGAUGGGUGAGUAACACGUGGGGAACCUGCCCCUAAGUCUGGGAUACCAUUUGGAAACAGGUGCUAAUACCGGAUAAUAAAGCAGAUCGCAUGAUCAGCUUUUGAAAGGCGGCGUAAGCUGUCGCUAAGGGAUGGCCCCGCGGUGCAUUAGCUAGUUGGUAAGGUAACGGCUUACCAAGGCGACGAUGCAUAGCCGAGUUGAGAGACUGAUCGGCCACAUUGGGACUGAGACACGGCCCAAACUCCUACGGGAGGCAGCAGUAGGGAAUCUUCCACAAUGGACGCAAGUCUGAUGGAGCAACGCCGCGUGAGUGAAGAAGGUUUUCGGAUCGUAAAGCUCUGUUGUUGGUGAAGAAGGAUAGAGGUAGUAACUGGCCUUUAUUUGACGGUAAUCAACCAGAAAGUCACGGCUAACUACGUGCCAGCAGCCGCGGUAAUACGUAGGUGGCAAGCGUUGUCCGGAUUUAUUGGGCGUAAAGCGAGCGCAGGCGGAAAAAUAAGUCUAAUGUGAAAGCCCUCGGCUUAACCGAGGAACUGCAUCGGAAACUGUUUUUCUUGAGUGCAGAAGAGGAGAGUGGAACUCCAUGUGUAGCGGUGGAAUGCGUAGAUAUAUGGAAGAACACCAGUGGCGAAGGCGGCUCUCUGGUCUGCAACUGACGCUGAGGCUCGAAAGCAUGGGUAGCGAACAGGAUUAGAUACCCUGGUAGUCCAUGCCGUAAACGAUGAGUGCUAAGUGUUGGGAAGGUUCCGCCUCUCAGUGCUGCAGCUAAC